rnacentral:tRNA from 1 species
CAAGAUGUAGCUUAAUCAAAGCAUCCGGCUUACACCCGGAAGA